GGGGCCGACCUGGUUUCGACGUGGGUAUCGAAGCAGAUCAGUGCAUACCGAGGCCCAGCCACCUCGUAAAUCCAACUGGAAACACUACAAACGCGAACGACGAGCGUUUUGCUCUAGCCGCCUAAGAACCGGCUGGACCCCUGCACCGGCUUGCUCAUGGGCCGGAGUAGCGCAAGCUACGGCAGGGUCAUAUACAUGAGCUAAGGGUUGUCUGCGCCGCGUGGCCAACCUCGAAAAUCCAGCGGCUCGCCGUCUGCCAGCCUGCCGGUUGGCGUGCAGACGGUCAGAUCAAACAACUCGGCUAAGUAUGUAGGACUGGCUGUGUAGGACUUACGGACGCGGGUUCGAUUCCCGCCGGCUCCACCA
rnacentral:tmRNA from 2 species